rnacentral:ncRNA from 2 species
GCUACUCACCAGGGGAGUCCCGGCAAGGGGCUGAGAUACUGCCAAUUGCGCGCAGUGACCUUGAACCUGAUCCAGUUCAUACUGGCGUAGGGACGGUGCGAGGCUCCGCCG